UACGGAGGGGGCUAGCGUUAUUCGGAAUUAUUGGGCGUAAAGGGCGCGUAGGCGGCCCGGUAAGUCAAAGGUGAAAUCCCUCGGCUCAACUGGGGAACUGCCUUUGAAACUGUCGGGCUUGAGGCCGGGAGGGGGUAGCGGAAUUCCCAGUGUAGCGGUGAAAUGCGUAGAUAUUGGGAGGAACACCUGAGGCGAAGGCGGGUUGCUAGGCUGAUACUGACGCUGAGUGCGCGAAAGCUAGGGUAGCAAACGGG
rnacentral:rRNA from 1 species